GCCGGGGUAGCUCAGUUGGUUAGAGCGUCUGACUGUGGAUCAGAAGGCCGAGGGUUCGAGUCCCUCCUCCGGUA
rnacentral:tRNA from 3 species